CCAUUUUUGAGAAGCAUGAUCUGCAUUGAAUCUGCCAACAAGUAUUCAACAUGACGCGACUCGGGCAAGUUCCAUUCAUUGCAUAACAUUAUCCCAUUUACUCCUUCGUACGGGGAAAUGAGCAGAGUGAAAGUACCGAAGCGAAAGUGAAAGUAUAGGAAGCCCACACAAUGCAUGGUGUAAUGCAAGCGUAAAAUGUGAUCCACGUUGGAGGAUUCUUGUCCAUUCACAUAUUUGAGAACAAGGUCGUCGGGUUGGGACGCGGACGUGGGCUGCACAAGUUGGGUAUAGUUAUUCGGGUCAGAGAAGUGAAAGUCGCGUAAAAUAGUGGGGAUGAGGAGUUCUCUAGUGUCCUGGCCAUGUUUUACUCAGCCAGGAUAAAAUGACGAUAUAUUGACGUAUCAUAUUUAUUUUGUGUAAUAAUAAUUGAGAGACCGUCCUCUACACAGUUAAUAUCAAGUCAUACCUUUGUUGUUCAAAAUAUAAUGCAAAUUUUUAAAUGUCAUAUCGUGACAUAAAUAUAAAUAUAUAGGUGAAGGAGUGAAGUUUCAAAAUUUUUCGAAUUUAAGUUUAGUGCCUUUUGAUUUCCGUCGGUCUGUGUGGGCUUAAUUAUAUAAAAAAAUAUUCAUUAUCAAGGCCAUUUUUAGAAGCAGGUGUACCCCUUAUUAUUGUGCAGGUACAAUAACGUUAGUGGGAAAUGACGGUUUUUUAUAUCUCCCGAGUGAAAGUUAAGCGUACAAGGAAAAAUGUCCCUGCUCAGUGUGACGGUUAAGAAGGCUGAAUUUUCUCAAGGACAAGGUACCUAGGCUAGGCGCUGCAUAUUUAGUUAUGUCCCUAAUUUCUCUGUCAUUUGCAAUAGAUACAGCUCACGAAUGGAACUCGUACGAUACGUUGAAGUUGCACAAUGUCAAGUCGACCACGGUGCAGGUGAAAGGAGCCAGCCCGAGAUGGGAGCAGGACUUUCUUUUCCGUCGGGUAUCACUGGCUCAAUCUGAGAGAAAUUCAGCACUCAAACGGGGAAUGCAGCCACUGCCAAUGGCUAGCCUUGGAUGCAGAUCUCGUCAUUAGAAAUGGAGUAGUUUUCGGGACCAAGGCACCAACAGCGCACUCUAUCCUCGUAGAUGUCCAGUUUGUUCCCCCAUGCAGCAGUCACAUGGAGUGCGAUGAGAUGCCGAGAAAGCUCCAAAUUUUCAAUUCGAUGCAGGACCAAGAGACUGAAAGCAAUAAACGACAGCAAUACUAUGUUAAAUCUGGAGAUUCCGAAGACAGUGAUUACACAUCAGAAACCUCGUACGACUGUUGGUACGAGGCGAACGACCCUCCACCGCACUGCAGAUAUCCACAAGUCCACCGCAGAAAGCAACUCCCUAGGAUCCCUUCUUGCAGGAAAUACAAUAUCAGUAGUGGGGAUGGGUACUGGGAGGAGGAUCCUUUAGAUGUUGAGGCAGGCCCUCCGUCCUAUAAUAGCAGGC